rnacentral:lncRNA from 1 species
CUUUCCAGAGGAGGAACACGGAAAAAUCAGCCUUGUGGGUGAACAGGAGGAGAGUCACAUUCGCCAGCAGGCAGCACCCUGUGCAGGCAGUGGGAGAAAUCUGAGCUUCAGCAGCGUCCGGAGCAGGAUUUGCACGAAGUCUCCCGUUUCAAGUUUUAUGUCUCCUGGAGUCCUGGGGAAGGCACCCAGCCCACCCACAGCUCCCUUCUCAGAGCCCUAAGAAUUGAUGAGAAAGCCCCUCACUACCACAUGCAGGACACGCAGGACACCCAUGAAAGAAAAGCAAUUAAAUAGAAACAACCAACUAAGAAGGCAAUUCUAGCACCUACACUAGAAGAAAAAAAAAAGGUCUAAAUCCCAGAGCGUCUGUCUGCAAAUAACUACAGGUUUCCUUGUGAGCAGAGCCCCAAAUAACUACAGGUUUUCUCGUGAUCAGAGUCACACACAACGACAGGUUUUCCUGUGAACAGAGCCACGGGCCCGGAACUGGGGAAGCACCAAGUCCUGAAGUUGGCUGGUUGUUCCUCCCCAUGAGCAAUACCUGUGGCACUGUUUACUUGCUCGGAGUGUGUGCGGCUCUACUCCAGCCCAGAAAGGGCCCAUCGCAGCAAGAAAUCUCACCUCCCCAGGGGUGUAGAAAGACCUGGGCCUGUAUAUAUGUCUAUACCCAUGGCUUCCGGAGAAAUCAACACUAGAUCUAAGAUGAGCUGAAUAAUAAGAAAAUUACCCCCUCCACAACAACAACAACCAACACUGAAUAGGGAGAGGUGUAUCUGGGUGUAAAAGUUAAGUUUGACUGUGCACCUUUUCUGUGUUAGACACAGUACUAGUCAUUAACAUCAUCUCAAGUUACUUUUGCAAACUGGUGAAAGUGCUGCUGUUAUACUCAUUUUACAAGUGAGGACACUAAGGCUCAGAGAGAAUAUGCCACUUGCCAAGAUCAUCCAGUUAUUUAUGACUCCCCACUGCCACUAGCACUAGAAGCUAACAGCUAUUGAGUGCUACGUGUCAGGCACUGCUCUAAGCACUUAAUAUAUGAAUUCUUUUCAGUCAUCUUUAUAUGUUGUAUACAUGGCUGGCAAUAUUCUCAUUUUUCAGAGGAAAUUGCCCAGAGAGGUUAAGUAACUUUCCCAAGUUCACACAGCUAGAAAGUAAUAGAGGCAGAAUUUGAAGUGUUAGCCACUGUAUUACACUGCUACUCAUUAACAUUUUAUAAUGCAUAUGGAAUUUCAAAUGCACACACACAGACGGCAUUCAUAGAGAAACUCAAUCUGAGUCAUUUUGAAAAGAAGAUUAGACUCAGAGUUUAGCUGUAAUCUUUCCUUUCUACCCAAGACAGCUGUGUACUUUGGGCACAAUACUUAAGGUAUCUGAUUCUGUGUCUUCAUUUGGAAAAUGGGAGUUACUAUGAGGCUUAAAUAAGACUGUGCUUGUAGAAGUGUCCAGGGGAGUACCAGAGAGAGGGCUGCCAGCCACACUCACCAAAGCGGCAGACACAUGCACUGUCUACCCUCAGAUAACGUUCCUUUGGCACGUUCUGGGGAACAGUGGCUUGACUCUCACUGUACUUCUUACUCCAUUUUCUCUCCAGUUUCUCUAAUUUUCACACUUUUGAAUGCCAGCCUUGCCAAGCUUGGCAUUAUCAAGAGGCUGUGGUUGAUAAAGCAGGUACAAGUAUAUGAGAUGGGAGGAUAUGUUUGAACUCAGGCACUGUUUUAGCAAAAUGUGUUCUGUCUCAGUCAGCACAGGAAAAAAAGCUUUUAACAUUCCCGUUAAGAAGACUCACAGGCUCCGCACACAUUAAAUAACUCUCACAAAACAACAUUUUAAUGAUUUACGUGUAAAUGAAUCAGAAACACAUGGACGACAUUUCUCUUGGAAUACACAAGGGUUUUAAAACUGAAGGAGAAAGAGCUUGGCAAAAUGCACACUGUGCUGGGAAGAGGGCCCCUGCCCAGUAAAGACAUUCCCUCAAUUCAUGCUGCCACGGAGUUUGCCCUCUCCUAAUUUAGGGCAUAUACUGGGAACUGCAGUCAUUUGUUCUGGGUACAGAGGGAAGAGCUUGGGCGAGAAAGCCAUCAGCUUCUCCUUGGAAAGUGUCACAGAGCAAUUAGGCCUCCUGGAAUAAUUUUCUAGCCAUGUUUCUUCAAGGCUGCCAAUGUUCAAUGGAAAGCAUUCGAGAUGUGUUCUAAGCCAAAGUUCUGCCAAUAUAUAGCAGAUCUGAUAUGUGCGCUUCCCUGGGAGUUAGCCAAGGCUCAGAGGAAAUCUGCAUAAAAACAGGAACUACGUGGCCCAGGAAUGAUCUGCAUGUGAUUCAGGACAGUUUUCUACUUGGUUACACUACAUAUUGUCUGAUGCUUUUGAUGAAUCUCCCUGAAGUGUCACUAAGAGAUCAUGGGUCAUCAGGGGUGGGAGGAAUGGAAGGGACAUUAGGCUGGAAACAGAACUGGGCUCAGUGACUAUAGGCCAGCUUGCAUGUGACCUUGGAAACUUCAGAUGAGUGGACUGGUCACGUGAUACAGCAAUGACAAAAACUUCAGUAUUGGCAUUCAUUCCAGCUGAUGGCAUUCCAGGAGCUUUUAAUGAAUUAAAGCCACAUUUGCCUGAAGAAGCCAGCGAAGUUACUAACUGGUUCAAAAACGAUUAUGUGCAUGAUGGGCAGUAUUGUUGCAGUUCAAUCACCAGUAUUGCUUCCACCAGAUUUGUGGUCUAUAUAUGUGUGCAUAUGGAAUAGAUUUCCACAGACCCACAACACGGAAGCAUGGCACAGAAGAUGGGAAAAAAUGGGGAAUACUCAUGUAGUUGUAUACUAAACCAUAGAAGAAUUUUGAAAAGAGCAGUGUCACAUGGAAAAUAAAUGUGAACAUAUUCUCCAAGGACAGCCAUGUCGUAAAAGAAAAAAAGCAGCUAUUUUUUGUGAUGUGAGACUUAAAAAUAUAGUUAAUGACUGUGAAAGUUGGCCAGCUCUUAUGGACUAUCUCCAUGCAAUUGCCCAUAAUCUAGCUCCAUAACUUUUUUAUUUGUUGAAUUUUCUUUUUAGUUUUUAGUUUUUAUUUUUAGUUUUUUUCACUAUUUGAAAUUGUCAGCAUUAUUUUUUUAUAAUUCGCCAUGCUACCUAUUUCAUCUUUGCAUCAUUUCCAAUACUGCAUGCAUCGUAUAAAGAGUUUUAGAGAGUCCUAAUUUGCUUUGUGCAUUUUUGCAAAUGUAACUCCAUGAAAGUGCAUUUUCAAAAUGUUGAACUUGUGUGUAAGCAGUAUGUGUGUGCAUAAAGACAUUAAAACUUCCUCGACAAAUGAAAAUGUAUCUUCUUUGUACAUCUGCUUUUAUGAAAGAUAAAAUUUCUCAAUGCCUUGGCUCUUUGGGCAACUGAUGUGGUGGUGAUAUGGUAGUGACUCAUCACGGUUUUUGAUCAAUCUUAUCAAAAGACUUAGAAGAGUCUAAGAAUCACAGCAUUUCAGAUGACUGCUGUAUAAAGCUGGGGGCACACAAUUACCAACCACAGUGUGAUAUACAUUUUUAUAUUUUGCUUUUUGAUUUAUUUAUUUAUGAAUAUGGUUCAUCUGCUCAUAACUGUUAUACCCAUGUGACUGUUGUUAGUAUAUCUGAGUGUUUCUGCUUGCAAAAAUAUGGUAUUAUUGUCCAUUUUAUUGUGUAAAGUAGCCUAUGAAGAGUUCUGUCAUGUUUUUGCAUGUUUCUUAAAUAAAUCCCCUUUAAAAAUGUAAGUAAAUAUUUUACAACGUUUUGAAAACUUUUUUUUUUUUUUAAGACGGAGUCUCGCUUUUUUUGUUGUUGCCCAGGCUGGAGUGCAGUGGCACAAUCUCGGCUCACUGCAACAUCCACCUCCUGGGUUCAAGCGAUUCUCCUGCCUCAGCCUCCUGAGUAGCUGGGAUUACAGGCAUCCGCCACCAUGCCUGGCUAAUUUUUGUAUUUUUAGUAGAGAUGGGGUUUCGCCAUGUUGGCCAGGCUGGUUUUGAACUCCUGGCCUCUGGUGAUCCGCCCACCUCGGCCUCCCAAAGUGCUGGGAUUACAGGCGUGAGCCACCACACCCGGCUGAAAAAGUUUUUUCUAAAAUAUUUUUGGAAUUUUGUUUUUCAGGAUUUUAACAUUGGGGAUGAUGGCAUUUGGGAUUAUGGUCAGCUCCCAUCUUGGACUUCUGGCCUCUAGAAUUGUGAGAAAAUAAAUAUCUGUGAUUUA